CUUGAGGGAGAAGGACUGUCUGCUGGGGCUAUGGGGAAGUAGCCCAGGGAAAGCAGAUAGUAGCACAGGGGAAGGAGUGGCAGUGAGCGGCUGCCAGCUAUAGGGUCCCAGAGUAGCAGGAUCAACUUCGUAUCUAAGAGGAUGAGCAGAAAAGGACCAGUGGAGGAAGCAUAUUAGGGCUCUCAGUGAAGCAAAGUCAAGUGGUCCUGUCACCUUAAGGAUGCAAGAGGAGAUGCUCUUACAGCCAGAAGAGUUUUCCAAGGUGCACUAGUAUCCUGGCAAGAAGUUAUUUUCAUUCAUUGGAGCCUUUCUGGCACUCUCGGGAGCUGGGAAGCAUUACAGCAUCAGACCCAUUGAACAGCUGGGGAGGAAGGAUGCCCAGUGGUUAGGGACUAGCCUGGGACUCAGGAGACCUACAUUCAAUUCCCUACUCUACCACAGACUCCCUGAAUGACUUUGGGCAAGUCACUUAGCCUCUCUGGGCCUCUGUUCUCCAACUGUCAAAUGGGGAUAGUAGCACUGCCCUACCUCAGUGGUAGAUAAAUAUGGUACAGACUGGGCGGUGCUCAGAUACCAUGGCAAUGGGGAGCCAUAUAAGUAGCUAAGAUAGACAUGUAGUUCCUUGCGUGAGAUCACACAGUGCGUGAUUGGCAGAACCGAGACACCAGAACCCAGGGUUCUGUUUAACACUAGGGGUUCAAGGUCCCAACAGGCCAGAGGUGUCCCAUUGGCAGAGAUGCUGGCUUCCUCACGUGACUGCUAUUCAGAACUGACUCAGGGCCAAACUGAUCCCGCCCCUAAGAGAUGCCAGUGGAGCUACCUGAGCGAUGGACAGGGCCGCUCCACCCAAGGACUGCAUCUCGCUAAAUAAACCCACCGCAUGGAACAGGUCC